UCAAUUAAAUGUGCACACAGUGUCAUAGCAAACGGAUUAAUGUACAGAUGGCAAUGACUUUGUGUAAUGCUAUGCAAGCUUAACAGAAAUCCAUCAAAAUGCACAGCGCCAUCUGACGACCCGAUAUAUCUGGAGGAAUCAGUUUUGCAAAUUAUUCAUUGCUGUGGAUAAAAUAUGGGCAAAGCCUUAAAACCUUAGAAAGAGAGGUCACUUGGAAACAUUUUAAAUGAGUGGGAAGCCAUCACAACAGAAAUUCUUCAAAGAAUCAGUCAUUAAGGAAUGUAUUGUCACUUCAGUGCAUUCAGCUACCACAUAUAUUCUCAACUAGCUGCAGUAAAAUUCAAUCAUGCAACUCUUAUUAACCUAGUAAGUGACUGAAGGAGUGCACAAACCCCACACUGGAAAUGAAUGGGUUAAAGAGCUACUCUGGGCCCAAGUAGACAUGCCCCACUGUACCUGCACAGGCUGGAGGAACUCAAAAAGGGGAGCACAGUGGAGGAGAGCUGACCUACACUCUGAGCUCCUGCUGUCUGAGGCCUCGCUAUAUUGACCUGACCAAGCCUACAAAAAAGGAACCUGUGAUUCUGUAAAUUUCAGAGAUUUGUUUUUGUGUUUAGUUCUUUCUUUUUCCCCUGGGGUAGAGAGAGGACAGGUAGGAAGUGAUCCACAGAGGCAGCCAUAUAGCACCUGAGGGUGCAGGGUUUAGCUGCCUACCAUUGCGCCCUGGAUUGGAGCCUGGUGGAGAGGAUGGGCCCAGGCUUUUCUACCAACCCCUAAAGAGCUACAACUAUGGAAGUCUAUCCUUUGAAGUGGGACUGGGUUAGGGGAAGAUCCUGAAAGUACAAGGGUAUGAACCAUGACACCCUGACCCAAGGAAGAAGCCCUGAUUCCCUUGCUUAAUCCUGAAGACUUCCUAACAUUGGACUCUGUAUAUAUACCCUGCAAGGGGAGGACUUGGAAAGUCACCUGGCCAGAGGGCUGAUUGACUGAAAGGACAGACCACUGUAGGGCAGGAUGAUAGUAAGCAAUGUCAUGCCUGGGAGGAAGACAACCUCCCAUGCUCCUGCCACUGAUGGUGAGUGUUCCCCUGUAUAGUGCCAUAUAUCGUGUUAUAUGGCAUCUACAGUGCUGCAAAUAUUACAUAGAACUUGAGGAUAUUUAGCAUCUGACUAUAUGUCCAUAAGAGUGGCACUUGUAAGUUCGUAUAAGUCCACAAGAUACCAACACAAUUAAUACUAAUGGGAUUUUCCUAGAACAGACUAAGCAAAGAUGUGAUUGAAUGUAAGAGUCCCAUUGACUUUCAUAACCUUUAUACCUUGCUCUAUCUAGCUUUGUAUAAGGUCGCCUUUCACCAUGGUACCUGUGGAUGUGUUGGAUAGAAAACGUUCCAUUUAUUAAGUGUACAUAGCUGCCAUUUUGGAUCGGUGAAAGGACAGCUGGUCAUCCAUCUUGGCACCCCUUCUCCUUUAGCUCUUGGGCUCUUUUUCAAGUUUGGCACCAAAGCAGAGGGAAAGGCGGGAAAGAUAGUGUCACUUGAUUGUGAAAUCUGCCUCGCAACAGGGAACGUACAUAAGGGUGUGUUCAAUCCCUGAGGGGGGGUUCUUUCUGUGUCUCUGGAUGCUGUGAAAGCAGGUCAUCCCUGUGAGGCAUAGAAUCCCUGCCACACCACUGGCCUUGGUGCUAACUAGAGCCCUGAGGGAAUAAGACUUAAGGUGGACCAGUAACACCUAAUAAGGUUCCUUUGAACUUACCUUCACUCGCCUAUUAAACCAUCACACAUUGUAGUGUCCACAUUCAGCACACAGGACCUAGAGGUCAAGAGUAGAAGUCAGAAGACAUCCUGCCAAAGAUGUACUUACCUGUCACAGAGGUUCCUGAAUUCCGAUUUCUGUUGUGUUCCUGAUCCUUCCCUGAGGUCCUGGUUCCCAUCUGUGUUCCUGUUCUCCUGUCCAGUGUCUGCAAGACAUGGUAUAGUCCUCUGUUAUUUUUGUAAACCCCAGUGUGUAAGGGUUUGGGCUCUGGGGUUCAUUCCCCAUUAUACCAUCUGUGUUAACAACUGAGCAGUUAUUCUUUGUGUUAUCUUAGUUGCAGGGAGUGCUAGUUUGUUUUUGUGUAUCUCAAUAAACACCAUUUUGUUGUUUGCAACC